rnacentral:rRNA from 1 species
ACUUGAGUACAGUAGAGGUAGGCGGAAUUCGUGNUGUAGCGGUGAAAUGCUUAGAUAUCACGAAGAACUCCGAUUGCGAAGGCAGCUUGCUGGACUGUAACUGACGCUGAGGCACGAAAGCGUGGGGAUCAANCAGGAUUAGAUACCCUGGUANNCCACGCCGUAAACGAUGAAUGCUAGCUGUUAGCGAUAUACUGUUAGCGGCACAGAGAAAUCGUUAAGCAUUCCACCUGGGGAGUACGCCGGCAACGGUGAAACUCAAAGGAAUUGACGGGGGCCCGCACAAGCGGAGGAACAUGUGGUUUAAUUCGAUGAUACGCGAGGAACCUUACCUGGGCUUAAAUUGCAGUGGAAUAACGUGGAAACAUGUUAGCCUUCGGGCCGCUGUGAAGGUGCUGCAUGGUUGUCGUCAGCUCGUGCCGUGAGGUGUCGGCUUAAGUGCCAUAACGAGCGCAACCCUCAUCGAUAGUUACUAACAGGUUAAGCUGAGGACUCUAUCGAGACUGCCGACGUAAGUCGUGAGGAAGGUGGGGAUGACGUCAAAUCAGCACGGCCCUUACGUCCAGGGCUACACACGUGUUACAAUGGGGGGUACAAAGGGCAGCUACCUGGCGACAGGAUGCUAAUCUCAAAAACCUCUCUCAGUUCGGAUUGGAGUCUGCAACCCGACUCCAUGAAGCUGGAUUCGCUAGUAAUCGCGCAUCAGCCACGGCGCGGUGAAUACGUUCCCGGGCCUUGUACACACCGCCCGUCAAGCCAUGGGAGCCGGGGGGACCUGAAGUAUGCAACCGUAAGGAGCGUCCUAGGGUAAAACUGGUGACUGGGGCU